rnacentral:tRNA from 1 species
UGCCCAGGUGGUGGAAUGGUAGACACUGGGGACUUAAAAUCCCUUGGGGGCAACUCCGUGCGGGUUCAAGUCCCGCCCCGGGCAUUGU